CUUGGUCAUUUAGAGGAAGUAAAAGUCGUAACAAGGUUUCCGUAGGUGAACCUGCGGAAGGAUCAUUAUUGAAUAAACCUGGCGUGGUUGUAGCUGGCUCUUUAGGGAGCAUGUGCUCGCCCGUCAUCUUUAUCUUUCCACCUGUGCACUUCUUGUAGGUCUGGAUGUAAACUUUCCGAGGCAACUCGGUCGGGAGGAAUGUCAGCUUUUGUUGGCUUUCCUUGUAUGUCCAGGUCUAUGUUUUCAUAUACUCCAAAGCAUGUAACAGAAUGUGUCUAAGGUCUUUGUGCCUUAUAAACUAUAUACAACUUUCAGCAACGGAUCUCUUGGCUCUCGCAUCGAUGAAGAACGCAGCGAAAUGCGAUAAGUAAUGUGAAUUGCAGAAUUCAGUGAAUCAUCGAAUCUUUGAACGCACCUUGCGCCCCUUGGUAUUCCGAGGGGCAUGCCUGUUUGAGUGUCAUUAAAUUCUCAACCUUACUAGCUUUUACUAGCUAUGUAAUGGCUUGGAAGUGGGGGUCUUUUGCUGGUUUCGCAAGAAGUCAGCUCCCCUAAAAUGCAUUAGCCGGUGCCCCGCGUGGACCGUCUAUUGGUGUGAUAAUUAUCUACGCCGUUAGACGUCCGCUAUUAAAUGGGAUGCGCUGCUUCUAAUCGUCCGUCUUGGACAAUUAAUGACUAUUUGACCUCAAAUCAGGUAGGACUACCCGCUGAACUUAAGCAUAUCAAUAAGCGGAGGA
rnacentral:rRNA from 1 species